GACGAACGCUGGCGGCGUGCCUAAUACAUGCAAGUAGAACGCUGAAGAGAGGAGCUUGCUCUUCUUGGAUGAGUUGCGAACGGGUGAGUAACGCGUAGGUAACCUGCCUGGUAGCGGGGGAUAACUAUUGGAAACGAUAGCUAAUACCGCAUAAAAUGGAUUAUCGCAUGAUAAUCCAUUGAAAGGUGCAAAGGAAUCACUACCAGAUGGACCUGCGUUGUAUUAGCUAGUUGGUGGGGUAACGGCUCACCAAGGCGACGAUACAUAGCCGACCUGAGAGGGUGAUCGGCCACACUGGGACUGAGACACGGCCCAGACUCCUACGGGAGGCAGCAGUAGGGAAUCUUCGGCAAUGGACGGAAGUCUGACCGAGCAACGCCGCGUGAGUGAAGAAGGGUUUCGGAUCGUAAAGCUCUGUUGUAAGAGAAGAACGAGUGUGAGAGUGGAAAGUUCACACUGUGACGGUAUCUUACCAGAAAGGGACGGCUAACUACGUG
rnacentral:rRNA from 1 species